rnacentral:piRNA from 1 species
UGUAAUAGUAUAAUUGUGCUCUUGGUCC